rnacentral:rRNA from 1 species
CGGGGACUGAGAUACGGCCCAGACUCCUACGGGAGGCAGCAGUGGGGAAUAUUGCACAAUGGGCGCAAGCCUGAUGCAGCGACGCCGCGUGAGGGAUGGAGGCCUUCGGGUUGUAAACCUCUUUUAUCGGGGAGCAAGCGAGAGUGAGUUUACCCGUUGAAUAAGCACCGGCUAACUACGUGCCAGCAGCCGCGGUAAUACGUAGGGUGCAAGCGUUAUCCGGAAUUAUUGGGCGUAAAGGGCUCGUAGGCGGUUCGUCGCGUCCGGUGUGAAAGUCCAUCGCUUAACGGUGGAUCCGCGCCGGGUACGGGCGGGCUUGAGUGCGGUAGGGGAGACUGGAAUUCCCGGUGUAACGGUGGAAUGUGUAGAUAUCGGGAAGAACACCAAUGGCGAAGGCAGGUCUCUGGGCCGUUACUGACGCUGAGGAGCGAAAGCGUGGGGAGCGAACAGGAUUAGAUACCCUGGUAGUCCACGCCGUAAACGGUGGAUGCUGGAUGUGGGGCCCGUUCCACGGGUUCCGUGUCGGAGCUAACGCGUUAAGCAUCCCGCCUGGGGAGUACGGCCGCAAGGCUAAAACUCAAAGAAAUUGACGGGGGCCCGCACAAGCGGCGGAGCAUGCGGAUUAAUUCGAUGCAACGCGAAGAACCUUACCUGGGCUUGACAUGUUCCCGACGGUCGUAGAGAUACGGCUUCCCUUCGGGGCGGGUUCACAGGUGGUGCAUGGUCGUCGUCAGCUCGUGUCGUGAGAUGUUGGGUUAAGUCCCGCAACGAGCGCAACCCUCGCCCCGUGUUGCCAGCGGAUUAUGCCGGGAACUCACGGGGGACCGCCGGGGUUAACUCGGAGGAAGGUGGGGAUGACGUCAGAUCAUCAUGCCCCCUUACGUCCAGGGCUUCACGCAUGCUACAAUGGCCGGUACAACGGGAUGCGACGCGGCGACGCGGAGCGGAUCCCUGAAAACCGGUCUCAGUUCGGAUCGCAGUCUGCAACUCGACUGCGUGAAGGCGGAGUCGCUAGUAAUCGCGAAUCAGCAACGUCGCGGUGAAUGCGUUCCCGGGCCUUGUACACACCGCCCGUCAAGUCAUGAAAGUGGGCAGCACCCGAAGCCGGUGGCCUAACCCCUUGUGGGAUGGAGCCGUCUAAGGUGAGGCUCGUGAUUGGGACUAAGUCGUAACAAGGUAGCCGUACCGGAAGGUGCGGCUG